rnacentral:misc_RNA from 1 species
AAACUGUGAUAGGUGUUGUGAAUUGCAGAUACCUGUGGAUCAUCGAGUUUUUGAACGCAUACUGCGGCCUUUGGUCAACCUUGGGCCCUGUCCGUUAGAGUGUCAGUUCUAGACUCGUUAUUUUGCUGUACCCCAUAGCAUUAUAGCGGUUUUGGCAGUUGAAAUUUAAUUUCAUCUGCUUAAAUAUAUUUCCUGGUUAUAACUUUCGGGUGUAAGCUUUUUACAGCAUAUUCCUGAAGGCUAGGGCGUUUAUCCAGGAAUUUCCAGGUUUUCUGGACCAGUAAUACUGGAAUUAUUUAUGAUCUCUAAUCGGGCAAGAUUACCCGCUUAAUUUAA